GUGUCAGCCGCCGCGGUAAUACAGAGGGUGCGAGCGUUGUCCGGAAUCACUGGGCGUAAAGGGCGCGUAGGCGGCUGGGUAAGUAAGGGGUGAAAUCUCACGGCUCAACCGUGGGGCUGCCUCUUCGACUGCCCGGCUCGAGCAUGACAGAGGUCGGUGGAAUUCCCGGUGUAGCGGUGGAAUGCGUAGAGAUCGGGAAGAAUAUCGGUGGCGAAGGCGGCCGACUGGGUCAUUGCUGACGCUGAGGCGCGACAGCGUGGGGAGCAAACAGGAUUAGAAACCCCCGUAGUCC
rnacentral:rRNA from 1 species